AAAAAAAAGAACUGCCAGUGUCAGAAAAGAAAACUUUUACAUUCAGCCCCUAUACUUUAUCAUCUUAUUCCUUUGAAUCCUUCUACUUUUGAACAGUAGCCCUUACACCAUCUUUUUCACCCAAACAACAAAAUAUUUGACUAAAACUCACCAGAUCCAAACCAAAUCUUCCUUCCCAUAUCCGAACUAGUUUCCAAUCAUUAAAUUUUGUUUGUAUUAUCACGAUAUCUAAAAAAUUCAAAAUUCAAUCGGAAGAAUAGAUAUCGAUGUCGGAGAUGAAAGGUGUUAUUGGAAGCGACGAUGAUAGCAGUGUUACUGCCGACGAUGAAGGUAUUGUUGAUCACGAUGGCGUUACUACCAGAUUGAAAUCAUAUUGUUUAGAUUAGAAUAACUAACUACUUUUGCAAACAUGAAACCUAUAAAGCAUAUUUUUGCAAAAAUGACUUUCUCAACGUUUUUUUAGACUAUUUUAGUAAAUAAUAGUGUUAUCUAAUUUCCUCAAUUAUAAUUUUAAAUAUCUAUUUGUAAACUUUUUAGAGACAAUUUAUAUUUUUUACAAAUUUAAUUACAAAACUGUAAAACAUCUGUGAAUCCAAAUUAAAUAAAUUAAAGCAUCAAGAUAUUUUUUUUUAUAAUGGUUUGAUUAUAAUUUAGAUAUCUUCUGAAUUGGUCAAAGAUAUAGAAUAUAUUAUAUCUAUCUCCAUCCAAAAUCUAAAAACAAAAUAUAGAAAAUGAUUUCGAAAAGGAAAAUAUCAGUUGCUUUUACAAGGCCAUCGUGGCGCGAGUCUCACGCCAUUAUCCGUUAUUUUACAAUAUAAUUUUCAUUAAAGUUCACAAUUCACCGAAACCCAUCACCGGCAACAAUGUCCGACCAGCUUUUACCGGAAAUAAUCGCCAAAAUCCUAGCCCGAUCAGAAUUACACACAAUCAUCCAAUCCAGAUGCGUCUCAAAACAAUGGCGUGCCAUAAUAGACGACCCUCAUUUCAUCAAACACCAAAUCAACCACUCCAUCAAAACCAACACCAACUACUCCUUAUACCUCAAAGAACAAGACGGAGAUUUUUACCAUCUAGACUUGAGCACCAUUAAUGCAUGCAACUCUCUCCAACUCUGCAGUAACUUACCAAAUAUUCUCUUCGGGACCUUAGUCGGUGCAUGCAACGGUUUACUCUGCUUUCGGGUUCAAGAAAACGAAGAUGUUUGUAUUAUUAACCCCUUCACUCGAAAACAAUGGUGGGUUUUAGGUACUCUGCUUGCUAAUUUUCAUAACAGUAGUGCCAGUUCGAGUCCCAACGUUAAUGAUGUUGUCUGGACAGGAUAUGGUUUUGGGUAUGAUCAUGUUGCUGAUGACUAUAAGGUUGUUAGAAUUGCAGAGAUUAGUCACUCUAGGAGAAGUGUUAAUGAUGAUGAUGAUGUUGAUAUGGGGUUGUUAGAAUAUGAGAUGGUUAUUUGUUAUGUGAAAACUAGAGUUGUUAGAGUUCUUAAAAUACCUUAUCAUACUAGAACUACUCAAAAAAUGGGUGUGCUUGUUAAUGGGGCUUUGCAUUGGGUGAUGGGUAGAAAUGAUGAUGUGAGUAGUCCUAAUUUGAUUGUGGGUUAUAAUCUCGCGAGUUGUAAAUUUACUGAAGUAGCUCAGCCUGAUUUCGGGGAUAAUGGAUAUCGAGUGGAUAUCGGGGUGUUUGGUGUGUUGCUAUGCGUUUUCGCUGUUGAUGAUAUGGAAAUGUGUACUGAUGUUUGGGUGAUGGAGGAGUAUGGGGUUAAGGAAUCUUGGAAGAAGCUUUGUUCAAUUCCGCAUAUUGAAACGUGCUAUGAUUUUGUUAGGUCUUUGAGCUUUUGGAGGAGGGGUUCCGAAGUUUUACUUGAAUUGGACCAAUCAAGAAUUGUGUGGUAUGAUAUGGAAAAGAAAACAGUUAGAGAUGUAAUGCUUCAGAAAUUGCAGAGGUCAUGUUUUGAAACUAUUAUUUGUUUGAGAAGCCUUGCUCCUAUUCCAUUGAAUGAAGAUGGAGAAGUGGUUGAAAAUCGAUAAUGGCCUGGCGAUUAAAAUGAGAUAAGGAACUCGAAAAGGAUAAUUUUCUACCAGCAGAUUCAGAGUAAAACCUGUAGGCCAGAGGAAGCAAAGCAAGUGUAAUUAACAGAUACCCUUCAGCUUCGAUCAUCUUGACAAACCAUGAACGUUUUCUUGUUUUGAACACUAUGCAUCCCGUUGCAAUACCAAAUACCAAUCCACAUCCAUACCCACUUAAAACAGGUUUCCAUCCAUCUCCAUUAUUUUCUUCACUCCCCGAGUCAUCUUCGUUCGAUGGCUGAGGUCUACCAUUACCAUUAAUUUCACAUUCUUUUUCCAGAGGAAAUCCACAUAAUCUCGAGUUUCCUUCAUAUGAGCUCUUAUCGAAUGUGUUGAACUGCUUCCCAUGAGGUAUGGGUCCUUCAAGUUGGUUAUAGGAGACUCGAAAUACUUGAAGAAAUAUUAAAUCUGUCAAUUCAGUAGGAAUCCUUCCUGUAAAAAGAUUGGAACUCAGGUCUAAAGAUUCCAAAUUGACCAGCUUUCGAAGCGAUGGCUGAAUGUUGCCUGUGAAGCCAUUGUGAGAGAGGUUGAGCUGCUUGAGUGAUAUAAGCAUGUCGAUUGACUGUGGAAUUUUUCCUUCAAAUUUAUUAGAUGACAAAUCAAUAGUGGUGAGAAGUGUUUGGAUUUUCACCAGCUCAAUCUCUAGUCCUUUGAUGGUUAGCUUCACAUAAUAAUCAUAAGAGUAAUCAGGUGCUCUCAUGUAUUCCGUAUUCUUCUCAAAAACCAUGAUUGCUUUAAAAUUAGCAAAAAAAAUCUUCAGGCAAUGGUCCGCUAAACAUGUUGUUGGAAAGGUCAAAAAUACGUACGUUCCGAAAUGAAGAAGUGGCGUUUGAACUUGUAAUUACUGAACCAUGGAGUUUGUUGGAUUUCAACACAAGUAUUUGUAGCGCUAGAAGAGACCCCAAGAAAUAUGGAAAUGUAUCAUCUAUUUCAUUGUUUCCGAGGUCUAAGAUUUCCAAGUUAUUACAGUUGGUGAUAGACUGCGAGAUUCGUCCCUUUAAUAGAUUCCUGUUGAAGUUCAAAUAUCUCAAGUUACUGCAGUUUGAAAAUUUGAUAGCUCCUUGGAAAUUGUUGUUGCUCAAAUGCAAUACAGAGAGGCUGUUUCCCAAACAUUCUGGAAUGAGUCCACUGAAAUUGUUAUUCGACAAGUCGAGUAUUUGGAGAGAUUUUAGGUUGCAAAUUGCCAAUGAAACUUGUCCUGUCAACUCUUUGUUCGAUGAAACGAUGAAAACAUUCAAAUUUGCGAGUUGAUAGAAUGAACUCGGAAGUGAUCCAUUCAUUCUGUUGUUGCUCAGAUCAAUGUAAUACACUGAAGUGCUGUUGAAUUCACCUAUAUGACCUGUGAGUAGGUUAUUACUAAGGACCAAGUAGCUCAGAUUUGGUAGCAUAAAUAGCGAGGAAGGAACUCGACCACUGAAACUGUUAUAUGACAGGUCUAAUUCGGAUAGUUGCUCAAGGUUUCCGAUAACAGAUGGAAUCGGACCACGGAAAUCAUUAUGUGAGAGAUCCAACCUGGUUAGUUGCAAGAUCUGACCCAAUAAUGCAACAUCCGGCAAUGACCCAACAAAUUUGCAGGCACUUAGUUCUAGAAUUGAUAAAGACGUUAGGUUGUUGAAAACGUCAUGUUCUAAAUAUAUAGGAAAUCUUGUUCUAGAGAGAGAUAACAAUAUUAGCGAACCGCCCCAAUUUCGUCGAGGUAAUGAACCAGUGAGUUCUUGAUUACCCCAUAAGUCAAGCCAUUGAAGGUUUUGUAAUUGAAGUAUGUUAUCUGGGAAUUUCCCUCUCAAUUCACAGGAUGCGAGUUUGAAAGUUGACACAGACGAAGACAGGUUCAAGAGAUAACUAGGCGCAAUCAAGGACAUGUUAGUGUAGCUCAAAUCUAACUCGGUCAACUCGGUGAGGUUUCUUGCAAGCUUCUCAAAAGUAGAGGGUUCUAAUGGUAGAUUUGAAUUCCAGGACAGAUUAAGUAAAAGUAAUCGAGACAAAUGGAUGAAAUGCAAAAGUAUGUUACCUUGCAAUUUACAGUGGCUGAGUGAGAGCGAUGACAAAGAAGAAGACAGAUUGGCGAACGAACUAGAUGCAACCAAAGACAUGUCGACGCGGCUCAAGUCAACAUAUGUUAGUUUGGUUAGGUUGCGAGCAAGUUUAUUGAAAAUCAUUUCUUCCAUGGUUAGAUUCAAAUUUAAAGAGACAUCAAGUGAUUGCAGUGCAGAUAAAUGAGAAAUAUCUGGGAAGUUCCCGUGCAAAUUGCAAAACCGGAGAUUAAGAUUCGACAAAGAAGAAGAUAAAUUCAUCAAGGAACUAGAACUAACCAAAGACAAAUCAGUAAAGCUGAGGUCCAAGUCUUGUAGCUUGGUUAGGUUUUGAAAGACUUCACUAAAACUUGUAGAUUCUAUUGACAGAUCAUUUCCAUAUAGAUCAAGUGAAACUAAACUGGAAAGCUGAGAGAUUUCAGGCGGGAUUUGGCCGGCGAAAUUUGAAAAAGAAAGGCGAAGCUCCGUUAAAUCGAAGAAUUUGCCGAACUGAGGUGAAAUGUGUGACUUGUUAAAGUCAUUCCAAGAGAGAUCGAGUUGUUGGAGAUGACGAAGCAAGAAAAGACUACUAUCAGAAUGUAUAGUACCAUACAAUGAGCUUCCGUAAAGACGAAGACCAACUACAUUACCUGUUCUCGUGUUGCAGGUGAUUCCAUCCCACGAGCAACAAUCUGUUCCUUCUUUCCACGAUUUUAUAUCUGUAUUUGUAGGAGAAUUUAGAAUAGACAAGGAUCUUCUGAAUUGGAGCAACGCAAGGCUUUGAUCAUGGCGGCACAGUGGUGGCGAGGAAGACGACGAGUUUGAAUUUAAAGAUUGUGAAUUAGUGAAGUAAAAUAGAUACAAGCAUAGAAACUGAACAAACCAUACUGAAUUUCCCAUUUUCAUCUAACAAAUUCUCAAGUUUGCUAUAUAAAGCGCGAAAUUGAGCAUUUAUUGA